rnacentral:ncRNA from 1 species
AUACAGCCGAUGACGGAGAGAGUAGCUUAGAUGAAUUUACAGCGAGUUGGGGUUUUGGUGUGAGCCCGAUAUUGGAUUUUGAGUGAAGAGAGCUUCUGAGGUUAUUGGAGGAAUUUAGUAUUCCAAUAGGUUUCCCGCCUUAAGGGUUUGAGUGGACAGUCAAAUGUCAAUUAGAGUGGUAACGCGGUGUAUUCGUCUCUUAA